UACGUAGGGUGCGAGCGUUAUCCGGAAUUAUUGGGCGUAAAGAGCUUGUAGGCGGUCUGUCGCGUCUGCUGUGAAAAUCCGGGGCUCAACCCCGGACUUGCAGUGGGUACGGGCAGACUAGAGUGUGGUAGGGGAGACUGGAAUUCCUGGUGUAGCGGUGAAAUGCGCAGAUAUCAGGAGGAACACCGAUGGCGAAGGCAGGUCUCUGGGCCACUACUGACGCUGAGAAGCGAAAGCAUGGGGAGCGAACAGG
rnacentral:rRNA from 1 species